UGAGUUGCUUAUUGUUUUCUUAUAAGCUUACUAUGAUCUGUAGGUGUGGUUGGCCGAAUAUUGUAAGGGGUUAAUACGUAGUUCGUAUUUGAAUAGUUAGAUUAAUGUGUUAGUAAUCCAAUUGUAGGCGGUUCGUGUGUGGAUCUCGUCAGCAUAUCGUCGCAAACAGGUGUGUAACUAACACCCUCUUUCUUAGUCUGGAU
rnacentral:lncRNA from 1 species